AUACAGUAGUACUAUCAAAGUGCUAGAAAAUAGGAGCUGACCUUAUCUUCCAAAUUCAAAAAAAACAACAGUGGGAAAGUCAAACAAGAACCGCAAGCAAAAUCGAGACCUCGAACCGGAAACCUCAGAACUACGUUCUUCGACGACCUCGAAACUCGCCGGAACAGUUUUGGAAGUGAACUAUUUGGGGCGUUUUAUGGGGUGUUUUUCAGGUGGAGAAGAUGAGCUCUCAUGGCUCUUUCAUGGUGGAUGUUAAGCUCUAGAUGUAGAAUUUUUAGGAGGAAGAAGACCCUCUUUUCGUUGGUUGUCCGUGUAUAUUCAGUGUAUAUCGAGAGUAUCUCAAGUGUAUAUAGAAUGUAUACUGACUGUAUAUCGAGUGUAUAACCCCAGUCUCCGUUAAGAAGAAGCCAUCUUUUUUUCCUCUCUAUCUUUUGAACUUCCCCUCUCCUCUUUCUCCAGCUCUCUAAUCUCUAAAUAAGUAUCAAAUUAGUGCAUCUUCCAUUACAAAUUAUACUUUUAACUUCUUUAAUUAUCCACUAGUAGUGUUAUUAUUUAAUUUUCAUUAGUGUUAGUUUUACCCUACCAAUAUAGAAGCUUCCUAAUUAGUUAGGUAAGACUCUUUUUUCAUUUUUUUUAAAUAAAACCUAAAUUAAUUUCUAUCCCCAACGGACACCCAUCAGAAGAACAUAACAUUCUUUGGCCGACAGCAGAGUCGCCAGAGCUGUCACACCUCCUUUUUCACCUACACCCCGGAAAAGGGUACAAGUAAAGAGAGUUUUUCUAAUUAAAGGAUAAUCGAAACGGAAUUUAUUUUAAGAAAUUCAGAGUCGCACUUGGGAGAUUUAUGGUGUCCCAAGUCACCGAUUGAAUCCCGAAUCAAGGAAAAUAUGACUCUAUUUAAUAGUUCGCGAACCAGAAAUCCGAGUAAGGAAUUCUGUUAACCCGGGAGAAGGUGUUAGGUAUUCCCGGAUUCCGUGGUUCUAGCACGGUCGCUACUGUUAUAAUUGGCCUAUUAUCUGAUUUUAGUACAUGUUUAAACCUAUGUGAAAAUUUUAACUUAAACCGCUUUUCUUUAUUUAAUUUUUUAAGAAAAAUUCAACGUCAUCUAAAAUACAUCUUGAACCCCGUCACAUAAAUGCACCCGCGGUCCGUGACGUAUUUUAUCCAACAUUGUUGAGAUUUAGAUUUGGGUCACAUAAAUGCGCACCCGAGUUUAGGAAGAUAAAUUAUUAAAAUAAUGCGCCUAAAGCAACUACACACUUUCAAAUUUGCGAGGGCCAUGGAAAAUUCAACUAAUGGCACGCCUCGAUUUCUAAAUGAUUAAAAUUAGUUAUAUGCGGGCUAUGGAUUAUGAACAAAAUAUAUUGUGGAAAACCAUCUUCAAUAGGAGAACUAUUGUGGAUACAUCUGCGGUACAUUACUGCUAAAAUAAACAUUUGCUCCAAUAUGUGCAGAAAACAAGCAUAUCAAAAUUGUUUGAUAUAGGUUCAGGUGAAACCAAAAUAGAAGAGAUCAAAAGGUAUUAAAUUCUUUAUUGACAAAAUAUCGUGAGAAUAUUCAUAGGAUUUAAUAAUAUGAAACAUGACCAUUUCACAAGUAGAUAUACGAUACAACACAUCAUUCAGGCAUCUUUAAAGUUAACCGCUAAUAUAAUAAAUAAAGGCACUAAUUUGACAACUACAUACAACACAUUGUUAAAACACAUCUAAAGGACACAAUGAUAUAAAUAACAAUACUUUUCAACUUUAGCUAACAAUUUCCAUAGCUUUUGUUGUUUACUUUCUAAAUAAUGAAUUUUAAAUUCAAAGGGAAAUCAUGUACUUCUUCAGCUACCUUCAAAUAAAUCAAAAGGCCUUCAACUUAAACUCACGUUUCUAACUAACCAAAGAUAAUAAAAUAUUUUACGUCAAACAAAUACAGGGAUGCAAAAUCGCCAAUAACCAAACUAGCUGAGAAGAUCAAUACUGAUACAGUAGUACUAUCAAAGUGCUAGAAAAUAGGAGCUGACCUUAUCUUCCAAAUUCAAACAAAACAACAGCGGCAAAGUCAAACAGGAACUGCAAGCAAAAUCGAGACCUCGAACCGGAAACCUCAGAACUACGUUCUUCAACGACCUCGAAACUCGCCGGAACAGUUUUGGAAGUGGACUAUUUGGGGCGUUUUAUGGGGUGUUUUUCAGGUGGAGAAGAUGAGCUCUCAUGGCUUUUUCAUGGUGGAUGUUAAGCUCUAGAUGUAGAAUUUUUAGGAGGAAGAAGACCCUCUUUUCGUUGGUUGUCCGUGUAUAUCCAGUGUAUAUCGAGAGUAUCUCUAGUGUAUAUAGAAUGUAUACUGACUGUAUAUCGAGUG
rnacentral:lncRNA from 1 species